rnacentral:lncRNA from 1 species
UCCACUUACCUGGUCAAUUUGGUAAAUUAUAUCUUGAAUCAGAUUAUUUGGUAGUUCGAUUUAGCCCAUACUAAUAGGACUAGUCAUGGUGAUAACUAAUUAGAUGAGACUUAAAUUAAAACCUCUUUGUAUAUAUAUUAAGUCUAGCAGUCUUCCACCAUUGUAGAUGUGUAGGCAUGUAACUGGUGUUGAUUGUUCUC